rfam:Arabis alpina cultivar Pajares chromosome 6, whole genome shotgun sequence.
AUACCAUGGUGAGGGCAAUCUCUUGUGUACCAUUUCAUACGCUCCCAUGCAUCAUACAAACUUUCUUCUUUGCCUUGCUCGAAUCUAGCUAUAUCAUCCCUUAUCUU